GAGGGAGAUGGGCAGAUCGGUGUGCGUGUGUGUGACUGCAGUCUCCUUAGUGUCAGGGACAGCCUCUGGCUUGGUGGAGCCGGCAGUCAGAUAAGUCAGCUAUGGCAUGUAAUGAGGUACAUGCUCUCUGUCACGGGUUGAUCUGUGUACCCCCAAAAGAUACGUGGAAGUCUUAGGUUCAGUACCUGUGAACAUGACUGGAGUAGGGUUUUUGCAAGUGCAACCAAGUGAAGAUGAGGUCACCCUCGAUUCGAGUGGGCCCUUAUCCAGGAUGACUUCUGUCCAGUAAGGGGAGGAGACAAGACACAGACAGACAUGGGGGAGAUGGCUGUGGGAAGACAGAGGCCAAGACUGGAGUGGUGAGUUCACGAGCCGAGGAGUGCCAGGGGGAGGCGGCACCACCUCAAGCUAGAGGAGACAGACUGGAACGGAUUCUCCUUCCAGCCUCCGGAAGAAACCCUCUCUGACUACACCUGGACUUCAGACUUCCAGCCUCCAGAACAGUGCAGGAAUAGCAUCCUGGCCCUUCGUUCUCCAGCCCCUGCGUCCUCGGGCAUUUUUUGCUUGUCUCUCUGGUUGAAAUGGUUCACUUCAAGAUGGAGCGGCAAUGACACCUUUUCCCCUUUGCUUGUUGUUAGCAAUGGGUAGAGAAGGAGAGGACCAAGAUGUGCAGGGACACCUGUAAGUGACACGAGUCAGUUACUUACUCAUCCGGGGUGCUGCCCCCCUUCUUCUUGGAGUCCCUUCCCCUCCUGUUGCUUCCCAAAUCCUUGCGCUUGGCCAUCACAAUGCCACUUCUGUGGCACCUCCUCAAAUCUCCCAAAUCUCCAUUGCAUCAUUUUCCUAUAUGACGUUUUAUUUCGGUGGGUUUUCCCAAGCAGGUUGUGAGUCCAUGGGGGACAGGGAACUACAUUACCCCAGUGAGUACCAAGGAACUACCUCUUGAAUAAGUGUUGCAAUAAAUGAGUGAAUGAGCA